rnacentral:lncRNA from 7 species
CUACAGGUAUAAGCACAGUUCCUCUGGGCAUUUUAAUGGCCGUUCUCUAUGAUCUUUGGACAUAAACACUUCUCCAACCUCAUAAAGCCUUUCAAAAUAGAGAUGAAGAUCUGAAACAGAAUCUUUGAGUUUAUACAGAGACACAGACCUCAUGGAAGCUCCACGUGCAGUAUUUUAUAUAUACUAAAACCCAUACGCUGUCAUUAAAGACCUGAAAAACACAAAUGUGAAUCCUCUAAUAUGGAACAUUUUAAGUGAAAGAAAAGAUGGAGGAAGUGGAGAAGAAUAAAUGAAUGGAGGAGACAGCCAAGAACAACAGCUCUGGAUGAUCACUGAAGACAGAAAACCUGGCUUUGGGGUAGCAGUUUUCCAUUUGCCUCUGUGUAGAGCUGUACAGCCUUUGAGGAGUCAGGGGACAUUACAGUUUUCCUGCUAAUGGCAUUUUUGUCUAGGUGGAGGCAAAGCAGUCAGCUUUACCAACACUUAUGAGAACCAUUAACUCUUCCUGGACAGUGGACAAGGAACCUGACAUAUAUAUUGUAUAGAGUCAUAUAUUGUAUGGAGUCAUAUUCUACCUCAUGUUCCAUUUCCUCUGUCCUCUCUGAAAUGAAAUGCCACUUACAUACCAGAAAGAAGAGAAACACUCUUCUCAUUCCCCAAAAUCUGAUGUGUGGUUCAUCUUUGGUGAAUUUCACUUCAUUCAGCUUUCCCAUCAACUGUGUGUGCAAACAGUCCAGUGAGCUAAAUAGUGCCCAGCAAACCCAAGGGUGGCUUGCACAUAACUCUCCAAUGAGAGGCAUCUUAUCACUGCUGCUGCUGAUGAACAUUCUGAGGAAUGAACAUGCUGAAGAAAAUCACAGGAAGAAGAACUAGCAGACAGGUUGUUUUUCUGUUGGUUUGCUUUAUGGGGUUAUACUAAUACUUGGAGAAAGCACCAUUUCUUAAAGCAGGCUGAAGAAAAUUCAACAAUCAUCUUUUGAAAUUUAAAAUUCUUUUGAAAGUGAAAAGCUUUAUAAAAUUGGGUGGUUUUUUUUUCUUCCAAUAAUUUCAAUUUAAAG